UUCCGGUUGAUCCUGCCGGACCUGACUGCUAUCGGAUUGAUACUAAGCCAUGCGAGUCUUUGCAGUAAUGCAAGGCAUACGGCUCAGUAACACGUAGUCAACUUACCCUAUGGACGAGGAUAAUCUCGGGAAACUGAGCAUAAUACUCGAUAGAUCAUAAUGCCUGGAAUGGUUUAUGGUUGAAAUGAUUCGUCGCCAUAGGAUGGGACUGCGGCCUAUCAGCUUGUUGGUGAGGUAAUGGCCCACCAAGGCGAUUACAGGUACGGGCUCUGAGAGGAGAAGCCCGGAGAUGGGUACUGAGACAAGGACCCAGGCCCUAUGGGGCGCAGCAGGCGAGAAAACUUUGCAAUGUGCGAAAGCACGACAAGGUUAAUCCGAGUGAUUUCUGCUAAAGAAAUCUUUUACAAGUCAUAAAACCACUAGUGAAUAAGGGGUGGGCAAGUUCUGGUGUCAGCCGCCGCGGUAAAACCAGCACCUCAAGUGGUCAGGAGGAUUAUUGGGCCUAAAGCAUCCGUAGCCGGCUCUGUAAGUUUUCGGUUAAAUCCAUGUGCUCAACGCAUGGGCUGCCGAAAAUACUGCAUAGCUAGGGAGUGGGAGAGGUAGACGGUACUCGGUAGGAAGGGGUAAAAUCCUUUGAUCUAUCGAUGACCACCUGUGGCGAAGGCGGUCUACCAGAACACGUUCGACGGUGAGGGAUGAAAGCUGGGGGAGCAAACCGGAUUAGAUACCCGGGUAGUCCCAGCUGUAAACGAUGCAGACUCGAUGAUGCAUUGGCAUAUAGCCAGUGCAGUGUCGCAGGGAAGCCGUUAAGUCUGCCGCCUGGGAAGUACGUACGCAAGUAUGAAACUUAAAGGAAUUGGCGGGGGAGCACCACAAGGGGUGAAGCCUGCGGUUCAAUUGGAUUCAACGCCGGG
rnacentral:rRNA from 1 species